GAUGAACGCUAGCGGGAGGCCUAACACAUGCAAGCCGAGCGGGAUUUGUUGGUUAGCUUGCUAACUAACAAUGAGAGCGGCGUACGGGUGCGUAGCACGUGUGCAACCUGCCUUUAUCUGGGGGAUAGCCUUUCGAAAGGAAGAUUAAUACCCCAUAACAUAUUGAUUGGCAUCAGUUAAUAUUGAAAGCUCCGGCGGAUAGAGAUGGGCACGCGUAAGAUUAGCUAGUUGGUGAGGUAACGGCUCACCAAGGCUGCGAUCUUUAGGGGGCCUGAGAGGGUGAUCCCCCACACUGGUACUGAGACACGGACCAGACUCCUACGGGAGGCAGCAGUGAGGAAUAUUGGACAAUGGGUGAGAGCCUGAUCCAGCCAUCCCGCGUGAAGGACUAAGGACCUAUGGUUUGUAAACUUCUUUUAUACAGGGAUAAACCUACUCCCGUGAGGGUAGCUGAAGGUACUGUAUGAAUAAGCACCGGCUAACUCCGUG
rnacentral:rRNA from 1 species